rnacentral:snoRNA from 1 species
UGAUCAUUACCAAGGCUUUUAGAAUGCAGUUUCUGAUUUGCUGUGGAGUUAACCAUAAAAACAACAACUCUGUGCUAGGCUUUCUUUUUGCUACCUUGCUGGCAUUCAGCCUAAUGGGAACAUUC